GUGUACGUACAAGCAGUGGGAGCACCCUUUGGGUGUGACUGCGUACCUUUUGUAUAAUGGGUCAGCGACUUAUAUUCUGUAGCAAGGUUAACCGAAUAGGGGAGCCGGAGGGAAACCGAGUCUUAACCGGGCGUUAAGUUGCAGGGUAUAGACCCGAAACCCGGUGAUCUAGCCAUGGGCAGGUUGAAGGUUGGGUAACACUAACUGGAGGACCGAACCGACUAAUGUUGAAAAAUUAGCGGAUGACCUGUGGCU
rnacentral:rRNA from 2 species